rnacentral:rRNA from 1 species
UACGGAGGGUGCAAGCGUUAUCCGGAUUCACUGGGUUUAAAGGGUGCGUAGGAGGGCAGGUAAGUCAGUGGUGAAAUCCCCGAACUUAACUUGGGAACUGCCGUUGAUACUAUCUGUCUUGAAUGUUGUGGAGGUGAGCGGAAUAUGUCAUGUAGCGGUGAAAUGCUUAGAUAUGACAUAGAACACCAAUUGCGAAGGCAGCUCGCUACACAAUUAUUGACUCUGAUGCACGAAAGCGUGGGUAGCGAAUGGG